rnacentral:rRNA from 1 species
UACGGGGGGAGCAAGCGUUGUUCGGAUUUACUGGGCGUAAAGCGCACGUAGGCGGUUUGUUAAGUCGGAUGUGAAAUCCCUCGGCUCAACUGAGGAAGUGCACCCGAAACUGGCAAGCUUGAGUACUAAAGAGGGUCGCGGAAUUCCCGGUGUAGAGGUGAAAUUCGUAGAUAUCGGGAGGAACACCGGUGGCGAAGGCGCUCUGCUGGACCAUAACUGACACUCAGGGACGAAAGCUAGGGGAGCGAAAUGGGAUUAGGAA